rnacentral:rRNA from 1 species
AUCUCGUAUUGAAGUGUUAUAGCCUUUUGUAAAUGUGGUGACCGGGAUUGAGGAUUGCAACGAACCCUUUGGGCUACUCGUCUGAUCUCUGGUAGUUGCUUUGGUGCUGAAAGCGUGCUUAUGGUUAUCAAAGUUGAUUGCCAAAAGGUUAGAACGGGAUAAAUUCGUUAAGGAUGUUGACGUAAUGGCUUUAAACGA